AUUGAACGCUGGCGGCAGGCUUAACACAUGCAAGUCGAGCGAGAGGCGGACGGGUGAGUAAUGUCUGGGAAACUGCCUGAUGGAGGGGGAUAACUACUGGGAACGGUCUCUUAUAACGCAAACCCGCAGAUGUGCCCAGAUGGGAUUAGCUAGUAGGGGGGGUAAUGGCUCACCUAGGCGACGUUCCCUUGCUGGUCUGAGAGGAUGACCAGCCACACUGGAACUGAGCCACGUUCCGGACUCCUACGCGAGGCAGCAGUGGGGAAUAUUGCACAAUGGGCGCAAGCCUGAUGCAGCCAUGCGGGGUGUGUGAAGAAGGCCUUCGGGUUGUAAAGCACUUUCAGCGAGGAGGCGUCACUCGCAGAAGAAGCACCGGCUAACUCCGUGCCAGCAGCCGCGGUAAUAC
rnacentral:rRNA from 1 species